CGGAGUUGAGUGUUAGAGCACCUCCAAUGGGAGGUUUUCAUGGAAUUAAAAUGGGGUUCUCUUGUUUUAAGAGAAUAAAAAAAAAUCAAAACAAUUAAUUUUGUAGAGAUCGUUUCUCUGGAGAGACAUUUGGGAAAAUGAGAGAGCCGCAUACGUGGCAGUCAGUGUUUGGUUGUUGGCAGUCAGUCAUUUUUUUUUCUUUUCGGGAAAGCGAAUUGGGAUGCCAAUCGGAGAGAAGAAGAGAGGGAUUUGUGUUUGUUUGUUGUUCUUCGAUCGAAAAUGGUGAAAGCGACAAGUAAGGAUGCUGAGGAUCUGUUUCGAUCUCUUCGUUUCAAAUUUUGUUGAAAUUGAAUGCCUUGGAACUUUUGAUUGCAGAUCAUCGACUUGUAUGUCGUUUUUGCUGUCUUCACCGCUCUGAUUCAGAUAGUGAUUAAAGCUUGUUCUUAAUGGCGAGGCUGUUUGGCGAAAUGGGUCGUCUGGAAAACGCACGCCAGAUGUUGGAGGAAAUUCUCCAACGAAACCCACUUUCGUUUGAGGCUUUGUUCGAGAAUGCAUUGCUCAUGGACAGGUCUGUGGAAGGAGCUGCAGUGCUGCAGAGGCUGGAAGAUGCUUUAGCUGUGCCGAGGCUGAGUAUUUGGUGAAGGAAGCGAGAGACGUGAGACUGAUCAUUGCGCAGAUACAUUUCUUGCAGAAAAACAUUGAUGAAGCAUUGAAGAGUUACGAGCAGCUGACGAAAGAGGAUUCGAAGGAUUUCAGACCGUAUUUAUGUGCCGAGACCACAAGUAUUUUUGGAAUGAUUGUGAACCAAAAAUAAAUGGUUGUGUAUGCCACUUGCUAUUGCUAUAUAUAACACCAUCUUUCACCAAUAAUGUAACUUGUUCUCUCACCAUGCA